UACGUAGGGGGCAAGCGUUGUCCGGAUUUAUUGGGCGUAAAGAGCGUGUAGGCGGUUCGGUAGGUCCGUUGUGAAAACUCGAGCUCAACCUCGAGACGCCGAUGGAAACCCCCGAACCUAGAGUCCGGAAGAGGGUCGUGGAAUUCCCAGUGUAGAGGUGAAAUUCGUAGAUAUUGGGAAGAACACCGGUGGCGAAGGCGGCGACCUGGUCCUUGACUGACGCUGAGGCGCGAAAGCGUGGGGAGCAAACAGG
rnacentral:rRNA from 1 species